UUGAACGCUGGCGGCAUGCCUUACACAUGCAAGUCGAACGGUAACAGGUUAAGCUGACGAGUGGCGAACGGGUGAGUAAUACAUCGGAACGUGCCCAGUAGUGGGGGAUAGCCCGGCGAAAGCCGGAUUAAUACCGCAUACGACCUAAGGGUGAAAGGGGGGGAUCGCAAGACCUCUCGCUAUUGGAGCGGCCGAUGUCAGAUUAGCUAGUUGGUGGGGUAAAAGCUCACCAAGGCGACGAUCUGUAGCUGGUCUGAGAGGACGACCAGCCACACUGGGACUGAGACACGGCCCAGACUCCUACGGGAGGCAGCAGUGGGGAAUUUUGGACAAUGGGCGCAAGCCUGAUCCAGCCACGCCGCGUGCGGGAAGAAGGCCUUCGGGUUGUAAACCGCUUUUGUCAGGGAAGAAAUCCUUUGGGUUAAUACCUCGGGGGGAUGACGGUACCUGAAGAAUAAGCACCGGCUAACUACGUG
rnacentral:rRNA from 1 species